rnacentral:rRNA from 1 species
AGAGUUUGAUCAUGGCUCAGGAUGAACGCUGGCGGCGUGCUUAACACAUGCAAGUCGAACGAAGCACUUUAUUCGGAUUCUUCGGAAGGAAGAUUUAGUGACUGAGUGGCGGACGGGUGAGUAACGCGUGGGCAACCUGCCUCAUACAGGGGGAUAACAGUUGGAAACGACUGCUAAUACCGCAUAAGCGCACAGUACCGCAUGGUACAGUGUGAAAAACUCCGGUGGUAUGAGAUGGGCCCGCGUCUGAUUAGCCAGUUGGCGGGGUAACGGCCCACCAAAGCGACGAUCAGUAGCCGACCUGAGAGGGUGACCGGCCACAUUGGGACUGAGACACGGCCCAAACUCCUACGGGAGGCAGCAGUGGGGAAUAUUGCACAAUGGGGGAAACCCUGAUGCAGCGACGCCGCGUGAGCGAAGAAGUAUUUCGGUAUGUAAAGCUCUAUCAGCAGGGAAGAAGAAUGACGGUACCUGACUAAGAAGCACCGGCUAAAUACGUGCCAGCAGCCGCGGUAAUACGUAUGGUGCAAGCGUUAUCCGGAUUUACUGGGUGUAAAGGGAGCGCAGGCGGAAGGCUAAGUCUGAUGUGAAAGCCCGGGGCUCAACCCCGGUACUGCAUUGGAAACUGGUCAUCUAGAGUGUCGGAGGGGUAAGUGGAAUUCCUAGUGUAGCGGUGAAAUGCGUAGAUAUUAGGAGGAACACCAGUGGCGAAGGCGGCUUACUGGACGAUUACUGACGCUGAGGCUCGAAAGCGUGGGGAGCAAACAGGAUUAGAUACCCUGGUAGUCCACGCCGUAAAC